CUAACAGGAUUCCCCUAGUAACUGCGAGUGAAGCGGGAAAAGCUCAAAUUUAAAAUCUGGCGGUCUUUGGCCGUCCGAGUUGUAGUCUGGAGAAGUGCUUUCCGCGCUGGACCGUGUAUAAGUCUCUUGGAACAGAGCGUCAUAGAGGGUGAGAAUCCCGUCUUUGACACGGACUACCAGUGCUUUGUGAUGCGCUCUCAAAGAGUCGCGUUGUUUGGGAAUGCAGCGCAAAAUGGGUGGUGAAUUCCAUCUAAAGCUAAAUAUUGGCGAGAGACCGAUAGCGAACAAGUACCGUGAGGGAAAGAUGAAAAGCACUUUGGAAAGAGAGUUAAACAGUACGUGAAAUUGCUGAAAGGGAAACGCUUGAAGUCAGUCGCGUUGUCCGGGACUCAGCCUUGCUUCGGCUUGGUGCACUUUCCGGAUGACGGGCCAGCAUCGAUUUUGACCGCUGGAAAAGGGCUGGAGGAAUGUGGCACCUUCGGGUGUGUUAUAGCCUCCAGUCGCAUACGGCGGUUGGGAUCGAGGAACGCAGCACGCCUUACGGCGGGGGUUCGCCCACCUUCGUGCUUAGGAUGCUGGCAUAAUGGCUUUAAACGACCCGUCUUGAAACACGGACCAAGGAGUCUAACAUGCCUGCGAGUGUUUGGGUGGAAAACCCGAGCGCGUAAUGAAAGUGAAAGUCGGGACCUCUGUCGUGGAGGGCACCGACGCCCGGACCUGACGUUCUCUGACGGAUCCGCGGUAGAGCAUGUAUGUUGGGACCCGAAAGAUGGUGAACUAUGCCUGAAUAGGGUGAAGCCAGAGGAAACUCUGGUGGAGGCUCGUAGCGAUUCUGACGUGCAAAUCGAUCGUCAAAUUUGGGUAUAGGGGCGAAAGACUAAUCGAACCAUCUAGUAGCUGGUUCCUGCCGAAUU
rnacentral:rRNA from 1 species